UUUUAUAGUUUUGGGUUUUACAUUUAAAUCUUUAAUACAUCUUGAGUUAAUUCUUGUAUGAGGUAUAGGGAAAGAGUCCAGUGUCAAUUUUCUGCACAUGGCUAGCCAAUUCUCCCAGCACCAUUUACUAAAUAGGGAAUCCUUUUCCCAUUGCUUUUUUUUUUUGUCAGGUUUGUCAAAGAUCAGAUGGUUGUAGUUGUGUGGUCUUAUUUCUGAGUUCUCUAUUCUGUUCCAUUGUUCUAUGUGUCUGUUCUUGUACUAGUGCCAUGCUGUUUUGGUUAUUGCAGCCUUGUAGUACAGUUUGAAAUCUGGUAACAUGAUGCCUUCAGCUUUGUUCUUUUUGCAUAGGAUUUCCUUGGCUAUUCAGACUCUUCUUUGGUUCCAUAUGAAUUUUAAAAUAGUUUUCUUCUAAUGUAAUGAAGAAUAUCAAUGGUAGUUUAAUGGGAAUAGCAUUGAAUCUAUAAAUUACUCUGGGCAGUAUGGCCAUUUUCACAAUAUUGAUUUUUUUCUAUCCAUGAGCAUGGAAUGUUUGUCCAUUUUUUAUUUCCUGUCUGAUUUCCUUGAGCAGUGGUUUCUGCUAGGAAUCCAGGCUAGAACCACUGAGCCCAGCCUUCUUCUUAUGCCUUUGCACUUUAAUAGCUUAGCUCCCCAAAGCCCAGCUCUUUUAACUUGUGCUGCUCUUGGUGGAUUCAAGGGUGGUUGUGGUGGUGGUAGAUGAUUCCAGAGAAGAGACUUUACAGUGAUACAACCUGGGCUUCCUUACUCCAUUUGCUUCUUCCUAAAUAACAUUAUUGCUCUAUCUUCCUCCCCCCACCUCCAACCAGAGAAAAUAUCUACAUUUCUGUCCUAGAUGUAUUUUCUAGGAACCUUUCUUCCUCUUAGUUUUAGUCACAUAAACCUUACUGUAUAUAGGAGGAAGAGAAAACAGUAAACUCUGUGUCUGGCUAGCUCAGUUGCACCUGUUUUUAUGCUUCUCACUUCUUUUAUGCUUUUAUACUUCUCUAGCCGGACUCUGGAACGACCACUAUGUUAUCUGGUAUUUUGUGGCUGUUAGUGAUUUGGCAAGAGAGCAGGCAAUGACUGAUCCAGAUCUUUGUGGUGGGGAGAAUAACACAACUCGAAAGCCUCAAAAGCUCUUACUCAACUCAUUAUCUCACUUUUGAUGCUCAACAAUCUGUCCUGGGCAUCUAUUUCCUUUUCUCACCAGGAUACAAUUGCCUUCUUUCCUCAGAGGAUUCUUAGUCUUGACUUUAUUCAUAUCUGUACACCCCUUUUUUACUUCUCUGACUUUUCAAGGAGUUGGCUGAAGUAGGAAGCAAACAGGCUCCCGAAAUAUACUAUCUUGUCCCUGAAAGACUAUCUGCUUCUGGGACACCCAGUUUCAUGAUUCAUAACAGGAAAAUCUCAGAACUUCUGUGUAUGUGGACUAAUUAGAUUAGUCUCAUCUCUAUUAUUUUAGGGUCUUGCAGCUGGCUGGGCUCAAGAAUGAUCUAUAAUUUUAGGAUCUUCAUUGAAGAUGAAAUAUGCCAGAAUCAACUGGGUUAUUAGCACUUUACCUGCUCAGAAUAAACCCUGUCUGGUUGAGGGUAUGAUCUUGUAGUUACCAGAAUUUUUGCAGAAAAGCAUCUUAAUUUAGGGCAUUGAUCUUCCUAGUCUUAAGAUGGAGCAGAGAUCAGGCUUGUGUGUCUAGUUAUGGUCUCACUGGUUUACAAUGUUGGCCCUAGCUACCACUGUUCCAGGUUGUGAUUCACAGGUGAGGGAUUGGCUUUGUCUAUAAGAUGGACAUGGUAGAUAUGCAGAGGGUAAUAACAGGUGCCAGGAUAGGUUUUCCUACUUCAGUGCAGGUUCAGUUUGGAUGCCUGAAAAAAUUCAGAGGUGAAGUGGUCAACUUGUAAAUCUUACAGCUAGGCUGAUCAUGGCCAUGCCAAACCUUGUAGCAUUAUAUGCAGAAGAUUUGGGAACCUGUGUUUGGAUAAUCAUUUUUUGGUAGCUGAAACACAGUCACUGGACUGAAGUUGAGGAUUCUUUUCCAGAAGGACUGACUAUAAUCAAGUCAAAUAGCAAUGACAGAGGUCCAUAUAAUUACUCCUAAACAGGGACCAGGUUGGGAGGUAAUUAAACUAAUUGAGGGACUUGAAUCAGGAAACACGACAAAGAAAAAUUUGUUAUGAGUGCAGGGACAUUUCACAUAAGUGUGCAGUUCGCUGCUAGGUUUGAUUUGAAGAUCAAAAGGGAGUAUAGGUUUGGGACUUUGGUUCCACUAACCAGUUCAAUUUGACAGGGGAGGUGAUGCAAACCUGUACAGACUUGUCAAACCUGAAACAGUUUAGCAGUUUAGGAUAAAUGAAGCUAAGUGUGCAUAUGUAAGGGAUGGCUCAGGAGUGAGGGGGAAGUCAAUGGAUGGGACCAGCUGACAUUUACAGCUCUGCAAAUCCAGAUAAGACAAGUGGAGAGAAAUUAAGAGAGCCAGGGCUGACAGAAAGACUCUUUCAUUCUAAUGAUCAUACAGUUAAUUUCCAGGAAAGACAAAACUAGGGUCAGGAAAAUAGCAAACAGAUGGAAGCUUAAAGUAUUAUGGAAAUAUUACAAAGAUUUCAAAAUCAGUCUGAAUUUUCUUGUGUCUUUAUUUCGGAUGGUGCAGCAGACAACUUCAUGAGUUCACAUCCUCUCACCUCCCGUUUAAGCAAAGGAAAGAAAAACCCAAAUCGGUGUUACAGGUUUUUGAAGGUCUCCCUGGAUUAAUGCAGGUCAUUUUUUAUCCUAGGGAAAGCACAGAGGAUGCCUUCUAUCUCAAUGUUUCCCUUAUUUUAUUGAUUAAUCUUUCACUUUUUCAUUCACUUAACACUUAAUCAUUGCUUAGUAUGUGCCAGGUACUGAAAAGAUCCACUAGGAAUAUAAAAUAAACAAAACAACAUUUCUGCUUUCUAGUUACUCCCAAGGCCACUCUCCAGCCAGUUCUCCUGGGAAUCAGCCAAACCACAGCCCUGUUAGGCACCAUUGACCUUCUAUUUCCAAUGAUUGGGAAAUAGUCAAGCAUGGGCUGGGAGCUUAAUUGUAUAAAGCAGCAAGUUGCUAUGAAGAGUUCAAAGGUGACAGCAAGAAAAAGUGACUCUUUUUUCAUUGUGUCUCCCAAACUACAAUCAAGAACUUAGUAUCACAAAUUACCUAAGGUAAGUGGUGUUAUCUCUAUUUUAAGCAUGAAAAAUUCAAGUUUUGAAGAAUUUAGAUGAUUUGCCAUAGUAGCACAACUAUGGUUAAGUGAGAAGUCAUGGUGUAUAGAUUAUAUUCACUGAUGAAGGGGUGAAAAUCCAUCUUUCUUCUUCCUUAAUGCCAUUCCUUAUAUCUCACCCUUUGCAGUAAGUCCUCAAAAUGUUAACAAUAAUCAUAACCAUUCAUAUUUCUGUCACAGUGCAUACAACAUAUUUUUAUGCAUAUUAUAUUAUUUAAUCUUUUUGUAUAGUCUUGUGAAAAUGAAGAACAAUUGCUUAUGCUGUUUUCCUAAUGAGGAACACAAGGCUCACUGGUACAGAGUUGGCAGUAAUGGAGGCAAGCAGAGAAAGGCCCAGGCUUUGUGGAGCUUGAUGCUUGUAUAAUUAUGGAUACCUUGUUUUAGAAAAAUAAUGCAGAACUACUAAUACAAAAUUAGAAACGUAAGUGAAUAUUUAUUUGAAAUAAAAAAAUUGCAACAAAUUACAAACUUAACAAAAGCUUACGAAUAUAUCAAAUAUCAUGAAUCCCAGAAAAAUAACACUUUAUUAUUAUUAUUUUAAAUACCUUUAUAAUACCUUUUUAAUAUUUUAUGGCUGAUUAUUUUUGAUUGUCUCUUCUUAUGACUAUAGUUUUUAUAUCAUUUCUGUAGAGAGAACAGAAGGAUAAUUCAAUCUUUGCUCUAGCAUGGUUGAUCAAAAAUUUAAAGUUAUUAUUGGUAGUUUAGGAAAGAUUAUUUCCAUUUCCAUAACUUAUCAGUAAUGCCACACUGUCAUGUCCUCUGCAGUUUCUGGCUCAGGUGGUGCUACAUGCCGGGGGCAAGACCUUGGAGAGUUCUAGCCCUUUGAUUUUGAUUUCAUGGCACCUUAUUGCAGCCUCUUAGUCACUGAUCCAGCUCUAUCAGGUCCUCACCACCCCCACUGUGCCUGUCCUGGGUUCAUGAUAUGGCCAUGAAGCCUUGAAGCCUGGCCCCAAGGAGGUUGCCAUGCAGUGUCUGGUUGAUAUUUCUCCUUGAGGUUAAAUAUGGGAUCAAUUAGCCUGAUGAGUGCAACCAAGGGCAGGUAAUCAGUGAGGGUUGUCCAGAUGUUGAUGUGGUAGGUCCUUAAGACCACCACCAGGGCACACACAGCAUCCCUGGACUGGAACAGUGCUGCUUGUCUCUAUGCCAAAGUGGGGUUUCUGCUUCCUCUCCUCAUCCCAGGAGGAAACUGUGCUGAGCUUUGGAAGGGGCUCUUGCAAGUGUUGACCUAAAGCUUAAGCUUCAAGAGUUUUAUGGUAGAUUAGCCUUUAUUGCCAAGCUCAAAAACGAUUUGCAAGUUAGAUAGAUAUUGGGCCUCCAGUUUCUUGCUUCUCAAUACCUUCCUAAAGGUGGACCAAGAAAAAACAUUGUAGAGGCCUGUGGGGAAGGAAAGAUAAUUAGUCCAUUUAUUCUUCUUGAUUCUUUAAACAUCCUUGGACAUCAUGUUGGGUCUCUAGAGAAUUACUGUCAUUGAACUGUCUGUUGUCAGGCUAUGCUUAGGAACUCCUUAAAGAAAUAGCCCCCAAAAACUUUUCCUGGAGUCUAACAUGAAGCUGUCAUAGAGGGUGUCCUCUGUCAUGAUCACCUUUAAUUAGCCAUCAUUUUUUAGACAUCAGCUUUAUGUAGCUUAAAGCAAUGCUUUCCAUUAGAACUUUCUGUGUUCUGUAUUUAUAAUGUGUAAUAUGGUAGCUACUAACCACAUGUGGUUAUUAAACACUUGAAAUGGAAAAUAAGGCUAAGGAACUGAUUGAAUAUUUUAUUUUAUUGUAAUUCAUAUGAAUUAACAUUUAAAUAUCCUCUCGUGACCAGUGCCUACAGUAUUGGAUAGAUCAAACUCAGAUUAUUAAAACAGUGAUAGCCAACCUGUAUGUAAGAGACCUGCCUCACUCAGGUCAACUCGAACCACAUAUGGUCAGUUUCUGGUAGUAAAAGAGUCUAUAGAUUUUUCUGAACAGUAUUUCCUGCCCUGGAUCAGGGGUCACUAGGUUAUGGUAGGCCAAAGAUAGGGCACUGCAAAAGACAAAGAGAGGGACUAAUUCUGUCUGGAGUGAACUGGUGAAGUUUCUAUGGAGUGUUUAAUUUAAUAGAAACCUUGAAGCAUGAGUGGGAGCUCAUCCGCAGCAUGGUGGGCUCACCAGAGCCUGGGCAAGUGCUCAUGCGCCUAAACUGCUCCACUGGCCUCCACCUGCUACUAUUUAUCACGCUCCUUUGUACAGGGUUAAUCAAAGGACUAAGCUGAAAGACCACCAUUCUAAUUUGGAACAUCUGGAGACAUCAGAAGGCCCAUUAGAAGACCCUAAACUUCUAAUUUUUUCUUUCAAAUACUCUGAAACGAAAUCCACCAACUUAUGAAUACUAUCAUUUUUUUGGUGGUGGAAUUCCACAGGACUCCAUUUUGUUCACCAUUCUUGAAGCAUCAGUAAAAUAAUAAAGAUGAUUCCCACUCCCUCUUUUUUUUUUGAGAUGGAGUCUCACUCUGUCGCUCAGGCUGGAGUGCAAUGGUGCACUCUCGGCUCACUGCAACCUCUGCCUCCUGGGUUCAAGCAAUUCUCCUGCUUCAGCCUGCUGAGUAGCUGGGAUUCCAGGUGUGCACCAUCACGCCCAACUAAUUUUUGUAUUUUUAGUAGAGACAGGGUUUCACUGUGUUGCUCAGGCUGGUCUCGAACUCCUGACCUCGUGAUCCAUCCACCUUGGCCUCCGAAAGUGCUGGGGUUACAGGUGUGAGUCACUGUACCUGGCCCACUCCCUCUUUUUUCAGAGAAAAAACUGGAACCUGAAUGAGUGACCUUGUAAGUGAGUUGCUGGCAGUUUCUACCUUUGCAGAGACCAAGUUCUUCCAUCUACAUGGCCUUGUGUUGUCCUCCCAAUACCCCAAGGCAUGGAUGUUUUCUUCAUAUUUCACAUGAAGGAGGUGACUGUCUCAGAGAGGUACAGUGAGCAGACCAAAGUCUCAGAGCGUGAAGGGCUCAGCUUGAGUCCCUGCCCAGGGUGCUGUCAACCCGGAGGCUAGAAGAGCUUGUUCCUUGACAAAGCCUCAGAUCUGAGUGCCCUGGGUUCCCCCUGGGCCAUGACUUGGUUCCUUACGUUGCUCUGUGUUGCAGAAUUCAUGCUGGACUGCACCGUGCCUCUCCCAGGGAGUGCAGAGAUAGCCCUUGGAGGGGAAUGAUGGAGGAGGAGGCAAUCAGGUAAUGAGAGGCCAUUCUGACCUUGUGGGAAUGUGGUGCCCCUGGUGAGGCUACAGGAAGAAAGUGAGCAUCCCUGGGAAUCUCACACGAGGAAGGCCAGACCAAAUCCCUGUACGUACAAAAUGCUCUAGGAAAUAUGCCUCAGUUGGCAGGCAUGAUGACUUCUGAGCCCUUGUGUUUGAUUCUGUAGAAGAAAAAUAUUUUCAAAUAUUAACUAGUGAAGUUUUAUUUUUAGAGAUAUAUAUUUUUCUUUCAAUUACUUCCACCAUUAAUAUUAGACCAUGAAGCUCAGUUCUCUUGCCAUAGGGAAGGCAGAACCUCAAAAAACUCAAUGACACCAAAGAGUUAUAUUUAUGCUUCUGCAUUCCAAUGUAGAGCAUUGAAAGAUAUGGAAUUUAAUUGCAAGGGCUAGUCUCUUCAAAGAGAAGUGGUUGCCUAAUCCCCAAAAUUCACAGCAAUUAUGUUGGCAAGUAAUGUUUUAAAGCUUACAUGGAUUGUCUAUUUUAACCUCACUAUUAUUGUUCCAGUCUUAAGGAUGAGGAAGUUGAUGCCCAGAGAGAGGUUAAUUAGCUUGUCUAAGAUCACUUAAGGUCACUUAGCUAAGAAGCCAGGAUUUGAGCCCAGGUGUUUGGCUUUGAGCCCAUGCUUAAUCACUCUGCACAUUAUCUCAUAUGCUGGGUAUUCUGCUCAUGGUAGGGAAUACAGCAGGGAACAAGACUGCCAGGCUUCCCUCAAAGGGCUCAUUGGUUGAGUCUUCCACUGUGGGUCUUUUGAAAUUUCAUAUGGGCCUUGCAAAGCAGGAAAAAACAAGAGUACUUAUUUUACUCAUGAGAAAAAGAAAGUAAAAAAGAGGGAAUUGUCUUACUCAAGGUCAUAGAAAGACAUAGUUGCAAGAUGGGAUUAGAAACCAUAUGUCUCAUCAGCACCCUAUGUCCUUUCUCUGCCCUGGGAGCACACUCCAUUUAGCAGGCUUGCGGCUAGUGUUAAUGUCUGGACAAUUAAUCAAAACUUCCUUUGGGCUGGAUCUCCAGAGCCCAAGAACACUGGUGGCCAAAGGAUGGUGUCUUGUGAAAGGAGGGCAAGCAAAAGUGUAGGACAAAUUUCGCUUUGGGAUUUUGGUUACACCUGCAGACUAUCCCACAGAAGGAGGAACAGCACUGAAAUCCUUUCUCGCAAUCUUCCUGCAUUGUACACAGGAAUCAAGGUCUGUGAGAAGUGACCCAGCAUAGAUCUAUGCAUCCACCACUGUUCAUAUUUCCAAAAGUGUGAAACAAAUAAGAUAUGCUGUUCAGCCUUCUGUGGGAACGUUUGUAUGAGCAUCCUAUGAGUGGGAGAGUGGGCUGGGAUGUGCAUCCUGCUCCCUGAACCCUUCCAUCCGAGACUGUGCCCACAUCCGAAGCACAAGGACAUCAAAUCAUCAGCACAAGAACAUCAACAGGAAUGCCACCCUCCCCACUGUCUGAACUCCCUCUCCCUGUCAAAUAAACCAGAACAAAUGCCCAUGGA